rnacentral:lncRNA from 1 species
AGCAGUAGUACUUUUUCUCUAUUAUAAAGUAUUAAUUUUGAGUUCUAUUUUAUAAUUCUGAUGUCUUCAUUAGAAAUACAAAAAUACAAUCCUUGUAUUUUUUUCUUUGACCAGACCCAAAUUUUCCCCCUUUCCCCCCUCCAUUCUCCUCUCCACUUCUCGUGGACCGCGUGUCCCAAUAUUCAUUAACAUUUGCAGCCAUUACAGAGUUCACAGUUGUAACAUUUUCAGCUGAUUUUUUUUUUUUUUUUUUUGGCUCUAGCCUGUCUCAUGUUCUUGCUUCUCUUCAUAUGUAAGUCAGUAUUUUUGUCUACAAAUUAAAAGUCACUUGUCAUUCAAAAAUGAGUUAAGUAACAUGAUAAUCUUUUAAAUUUGCCUAGCUACAACAUUUAUGUCUCUUCUAAAUUUAUAUAUACUUUCAGUGCCAUUGUGGAGAAUUGGCCUUUUAAUUCUAAGUAGUGUUACCCUAUGAAGCACAGUGUGCAAAGGUAUGCUACAGGGUCUCUUUAAUUCCUGUGUAGCCACUAUAACUUUAUAACACCAUUACCCUUUAAAUUCUACUGACUAUAAGCAGCGUAAAAGUAACUAUAUAAAGCAAACAUCGCAAAGGAACUCUGCAGGAGCUCUUAAUUCCUUUAUGUAGCUAUCAUAAAAUUCACUUUCCUGAAGACUUUUACUCUAUCAUUCACUUCCAAACGCCAAACCUUUUUCUGGUAGCACCACUUUUGUUUUUAAUAGAAAGAUGAGUUCAUAUCUGUACAUCUCUCCAAAGCUCUAAGGAAUGAGAAAAGGAUCCUAGUGUAUUGAAAUUACUGAUGUUUAAUACCUCUGCCUUUUCACUGAAAGCCAUUUAAUAUUUUUAAAGUCAAAACUUGACAUACAGGUAUUUAUAAGGAAUCUCCAUGACUGAAGGAAUGAAAUUGAUGUAGGUAGCUUUGGCUAUGUAAAGACAUAGUAGAAGACAAUUACUUUUAUAAGAAGAGUUUUCUUCUGAGGAUUUGUAGAUUUGACUAAGCAGCUGAAGUCAGUAACCCCUCAAGAAAGGCCGUUUAUAGGAGCCAAGAACUGUUGGAGGUCUGUGAUGCAGGUUUUUCUGUUCCCAACAUCAAAAGCUGUGGAUUAUUAGGUGUGUUCCCCUUUAUGUUAUCUCUCGAUAAUUUUUGAGACAUCAAGAUUUUUUAAAAUAUCAAUAAUGGAAAGAUGAAACCUUCAAAUUAAAACCUAAAAUUGAUUAGAAAGAAAAGUAAAAUACUAAUGCAGUAAAUUUAGGAUGGUUACAGAUACUCACCAUCAACAUAAAUAAAUGGAGUUCUAGGAUAAAUUAUUUGUGGAAUACUAAUGGUCAAGUCACAUAAGAGUAAAAUCUUUUGGUGAGGAGACACAUUUGACAACUGCUAAAGAAUUCGCUGUAAAUUUGUCUUUCUAAAUAGUUUUCUUUAUAAAGUAACAGAAGCAUUGUAAAAGGGUAAAUAAAUGACCGUCA